GAGGGGGGGAGGGGGCAUCACUUAAGCGUCUUUCAGUUGAGAGGGAGGUGGUGCAGGCAGGGUGGAGGCAGGGCUGAUAUUCAAACCGGCACAUUUUCCCAUGCAGGUCUCGCGACCCUGACCCCGCAGCCUGCUUUCUGUAAAGGCCACAAGUGAAGGCUCAAAAUAACAGAGGGGCAGCUCAGCGGGUCACACAGGGGUCAGCGCAGAGCCCCCACCCACCUCCACAGCUCGACCUUUGACCUUUCUCGCUCUGUUCUCACUGACUGACCUACAUCCUGUAAAAAGGUGCAGGAAGUUCUCUCCUUCGGUCUGUCUGUCGCUGGAUGAAUCCAAAGGCAGCCCUCUUCAUGGUUUUUUUUGGCUUACACGGCCUUCAAACGCGACCUGCCAGCAUUUAGUCAGGACAAAGCAGCUUCCUUGAUAUGCUCUUUGUUGUUUUUGGCUAAAUGUAUGCUGAUCACAGCUGUGAUGACAUGACUGUUUUUGCUCUCCAGAGCAUUUUUUCCUCCUGGUUAAAUAAAAGUGAAAUACAUAAACUCAAA